GGCAGUUUUGUGCGCGUUCACCUGCGUGUGGGGUUGAGCCCCACAGACACGUGUUCAAGGAGAACCAAGGAACCAAGAUGGAGCGGGGUUUGAAACUAGUUGGAGAAAUUGGUACGAAAAAGCGGAAGCCUUUUUCCCGUUUCUUCAGUUUCAAGACACGCAACUUGAUCCUUGACACAGGCCGCUUGUCUCGUGGGAUUUGCUCUGCAGGACUCGAUCCCUGUCCGAUUCUCUCCUGGUUCUUCUUCGACCACCUCUAAUCGGCGUUCCUCCGGAGCGUCUCCUUCCUCCGGCAACCGGGGGUAAGAGUAUACGCGAGAUACCCGGUUGCAGGCCUCCGCACGCCGGCUGCAUGCGGAGAGGGAGACGGGAGAAGGGUGGAGGUGCAGUGAAAAAAGGUGUGCUUUUUAAACCUUCCUGGUGGGUGGAUAAAGUUGUGUGUUCCGACGAGGUUUAGGAUGUGGACAGUGGAGCGAGCUGCAGGGGGCUUCGCAGAGAACUUCCCGAGCGGUCUCUGGAGAAAUCAGCAGACCCGGACUCUGAGCCCAGUGUGCUGGAACUCGCUGUACAGAGGCUGCGGGACGGAUGUGUUUGGGCCAACACCCCAGACACUGAUGGACGGCCUGCUGAUGCUUACGGGAUGCUUUGGGGAUGCAUUGGACAGGAUCUUUAUGGGGUGGUGAUGGAGCGUUUGAAGAAAGGCGGGCUUCCACAAUGCUAUCGCCAGUCAACAUCAGAAACCUCUGAUGAGUUCUGCCAGAGACCUGAGAGGGACAAUUACCACAUUAAAGGUCUGCAGCUAUGGAGGAACUGGAAGUACCAGCAUUCAGCCUUGGAGCAGGGCUGGGGUGCUGGACUCAACACCGACACCAUGGGAGAACCCUUCCACCAUCCCACUCUCCUUCCCACGACUCCUGCUGAGAACUCAUGUGAUACACACACAUUACAUUUUUCAAAAUUACUCCUUUAUUUAAGCAGGGUAGUCACAUUGAAAUUUACAUCUCGUUUGCAAAGCUCAAACGUGGCACUACAAGUCUCAGGAGGUUGGGUGGGUGACUGAUUGCUCAAACCAAAGUGUCGAGUUUGAAAUCAAACUUCGAAUAAUAUAGAAACACAAUAAUGUGAUUCAGAUGUACAAAUGCCGCAGCGUUAAUGGAUUCGUUCAACUGCUGAUCCGCAACUGCCAAAGCUUUAAUAAACCUUGAUUGCAUUUCCUGCUUUGCAGAAUCUGGAUUAAUGGCAUUACGAUUUUCCUUCAGUAAGCAUUUUGUCAUCUGAAAAUGACAAAUGCUAAAGGUAAAUUGAUUUUAUAUGGAGAUGGCUUUUAUUGAUCCCCUUUCAUGUAUGAGUAUCAUAAUUAUCAUAAUUAUAUCACCUCAGAUUCUUUGCUUCCUGGAUAGAAUCACAUGCACCACAGAUGCUCUAUAGAAACCAGAUUGUCAGCUCCUGCGUUCCGUCUAUCUCCCCUACGAUGUCUUGGCCGGUAACAGGAGUCCCUGGCACUGAAUUACAGUUGCAUCAUUGGAGUGGGUCUUGCCCCUUGGUGUGACAGAAAAUAGAGAAGGUGGGAUUUGCUCAUGUGUGGAUUUGAAGGUGCUUAAUGAAGCUAUUGUAGCAGACAGAUUUUUAUGUAAUUUUACAUAAGCAACUGGUCUUGUAACCUGAAGGUCACUGGAUUGAUUCCCGGGU